rnacentral:rRNA from 1 species
ACAUACGACCACAGGGUGUGGAAAAUAGGGCUUCCCCGUCCGCUCAGCUGCACUCAAGCCACACGCCGGGAGAUUAGUAGUUGGGCGGGUGACUAUUAGUGAAUCCCUUCUAUUAUAUAUC